rnacentral:RNase_P_RNA from 2 species
CGAGUUGGCCGGGCGGCCGCGGCUCACCACCUGGUGAGUCGAGGAAAGUCCGGACUUCACAGAGCAGGGUGAUUGCUAACGGCAAUCCGAGGUGACUCGCGGGACAGUGCCACAGAAAGCAAACCGCCGCCCAGCUGGGCGGUAAGGGUGAAACGGUGCGGUAAGAGCGCACCAGCAUCCCGGGUGACCGGGAUGGCUCGGUAAACCCCACCCGAAGCAAGGCCAAGAGGCCGCACCCAGUGCGGCUGCGCAGGCGUCCGAGGGCUGCUCGCCCGAGCCUGCGGGUAGGCCGCUCGAGGCACCCGGCGACGGUGUGCCCAGAUGGAUGGUCGCCGCCGCCCCGCCGCGGUCAACCGUGGCGGGGCGGGACAGAAUCCGGCUUACAGGCCAGCUCGUCCG